UUCCCGACGAGAACGAUUGUCGAGGAGCUCGACGACCAGAUGCACAAAGAGGUCCUCCGUGCGAUCGAUGGGACGAUCGAUACUCUUCAGCGAGCUGACUGUGGUUUUUACGCCGUGAAAGAGUCGCCCCAGUUCCACUGCGGAUUCGCUCUUCAUCUUAGGAAGCGCCAGGAAGUUGUUGAGGUCUGGCUGCCUGGUUCCUGCCAAUGAUGGACUGGAAGAGGUCUCGGAACGAAGGCCAAUCUUCGUACUUCCCGGUGAAGGUCGGCGGUUGAAUCUUAGGCAAUGCGGUCCGAGGAGCGGCGGCCGGUGUCGCUGCCGAACUUGGUCUGGAUGUAUGCUCUUGUCGUUGGAGAGCGCUCUUCAGAUCGAGCAUGAGGCCCUUGUUCUGCAGCUUCUCGAGGUUUUGAAGCCGGGCCUCCACCGCGCCGAGGGUGAUAUUGGCCUCGCUGAGCUUCCGAAGGUUCUCGUACGCGCGCGAGAUUUUGCCGUAUAGCACUGUGGCUGUGGCAAUGAUUGCCUUAGUGUCUGUCAUGUCUAAAACUGUUUCUCUUUUCUAGGAGCACUGGUCACCGACACUGAUUCACUAUCGCUUCCGUGGCACCGGA